GUAUUGCUUGGCAAGCUAUGUAGGAGCAGAACGCGAGUCUUUAAGCAAUGGACGUCGCGGGUUUCCUUUUAUGGCUAUUGAGGUGUGGUCAUCGAGACUAUUUAUACUUCGUCGCAGGUCCAUCGAUUUCAGAUCAUUUGGUGCCUUUACACUGUAACCAGCUCCGAGACUUUGCCAUUGUGUGCAGUUAUGGCCUCCAAGACGUUCGUGUUCCUUGUCAUUGUGACUCUUGCAUUUGCCGCCUUUACUGUUCCAGGAGAGGGCGCGCCGUCUGUGGCGCUCACUCGCAAUUCUAAGGCGGCCAAAGGCUGCUUUGGACUAUGCCCCAGCUUCUGUUCAGGAGGUUGCACGUGCUAUUGCUACCCUACUAGUAACGGCGGAGUCUACUGCUCGUGGAGGUGCAGCUUCUGAUGUGUCGUGUCAGCCGAUAGCAUCGAUCGAUAACCAGAUAAACCAUGACCAGGCCUUCUGACCCAUAGAUAUCUUUGUUUCGAUUUGUUAGAUCUUGUGAAAUGCUUUAGAACUUUGAUAUGGAAACAAUAAAUGCGUGAUAUUCAUUUAAAGUAUCUUGUAUUUAAUUUCUGUCCUAACAAACAACUGUGCAUAGAACUCAGUUUCGUUUA